rnacentral:rRNA from 1 species
GUGGGUUGAAACCGCCUCGUUAUUAAUUUAGAUAACUUGGAGGUCACUGAAACCAUGAACAAUGGAGGACGGGCGACGAGUACGGGGGCAACAGUGUUUGCCGCUUAUUAUUUUUUGGCUUGUGAUUUUUCCAUUACUAGAUUCAAGCACUGUCAUAGAGAAGCAAAUAAAGUUGCCCAUGAACUUGCUAAGUUAGCUAGACUUUCUUCAACUUUUGACUAGUUUGAGGAGCCUUUGAGUGAAAUUGUACCCCUCCUCAUAAACGAUGUACUUGUUAUUGCAAAUGAAUAA